GGAGCAAGUUGGGUAAUCGCUUUCAUUAUUAAAAUUGAAAGAGGAAAGUCCGAACACCAAAGAGCAGCGAGCCGGAUAACGACCGGGCGUUUGAUUUAAAAAUCGAGCGACGACAAGUGCAACAGAGAACAGACCAGCCAUUUCAAUUUUGGAUUUUGGAUUUCACAUUUCGGAGUCCAUAACCAUUUAAGAGUUGGUGAUGGGUGAAACGGUGCGGUUUCUGUGAGAAACUUAAAGUAAGAGCGCACCAGCGCGUUUGGUAACAAGCGCGGCUAGGCAAACUCCUCGCGGUGCAAGACCAAAUAGGGAAAUGUUUUUAAUGAGUUGUUCGCUCAUUUGUCCGAAGCGAUUCGGACGGCUUUUCCGGGUAGGUCGCUUGAGCUAUUUGGCAACAAAUAGUCUAGAUGAAUGAUUGCCAUUCGCUUUUGAAAAGCGGACACAAAAUUCGGCUUAUAGACUUACUUCAAUU
rnacentral:RNase_P_RNA from 1 species